GGGUUGUGAGGUUAAGCGACUAAGCGUACACGGUGGAUGCCCUGGCAGUCAGAGGCGAUGAAGGACGUGCUAAUCUGCGAAAAGCGUCGGUAAGGUGAUAUGAACCGUUAUAACCGGCGAUGUCCGAAUGGGGAAACCCAGUGCAAUUCGUUGCACUAUCGUUAACUGAAUACAUAGGUUAACGAGGCGAACCGGGGAACUGAAACAUCUAAGUACCCCGAGGAAAAGAAAUCAACCGAGAUUCCCCAGUAGCGGCGAGCGAACGGGGAGCAGCCCAGAGUCUGAAUCAGCUUGUGUGUUAGUGGAACGGUCUGGAAAGUCCGACGGUACAGGGUGAUAGUCCCGUACACCAAAAUGCACAGGCUGUGAACUCGAAGAGUAGGGCGGGACACGUGGUAUCCUGUCUGAAUAUGGGGGACCAUCCUCCAAGGCUAAAUACUCCUGACUGACCGAUAGUGAACCAGUACCGUGAGGGAAAGGCGAAAAGAACCCCGGCGAGGGAGUGAAAAAGAACCUGAAACCGUGUACGUACAAGCAGUGGGAGCACCUUCGGGUGUGACUGCGUACCUUUUGUAUAAUGGGUCAGCGACUUAUAUUCUGUAGCAAGGUUAACCGUAUAGGGGAGCCGCAGGGAAACCGAGUCUUAACUGGGCGUUAAGUUGCAGGGUAUAGACCCGAAACCCGGUGAUCUAGCCAUGGGCAGGUUGAAGGUUGGGUAACACUAACUGGAGGACCGAACCGACUAAUGUUGAAAAAUUAGCGGAUGACUUGUGGCUGGGGGUGAAAGGCCAAUCAAACCGGGAGAUAGCUGGUUCUCCCCGAAAGCUAUUUAGGUAGCGCCUCGUGAACUCAUCUUCGGGGGUAGAGCACUGUUUCGGCUAGGGGGUCAUCCCGACUUACCAACCCGAUGCAAACUACGAAUACCGAAGAAUGUUAUCACGGGAGACACACGGCGGGUGCUAACGUCCGUCGUGAAGAGGGAAACAACCCAGACCGCCAGCUAAGGUCCCAAAGUCAUGGUUAAGUGGGAAACGAUGUGGGAAGGCACAGACAGCCAGGAUGUUGGCUUAGAAGCAGCCAUCAUUUAAAGAAAGCGUAAUAGCUCACUGGUCGAGUCGGCCUGCGCGGAAGAUGUAACGGGGCUAAACCAUGCACCGAAGCUGCGGCAGCGACACUAUGUGUUGUUGGGUAGGGGAGCGUUCUGUAAGCCUGCGAAGGUGUGCUGUGAGGCAUGCUGGAGGUAUCAGAAGUGCGAAUGCUGACAUAAGUAACGAUAAAGCGGGUGAAAAGCCCGCUCGCCGGAAGACCAAGGGUUCCUGUCCAACGUUAAUCGGGGCAGGGUGAGUCGACCCCUAAGGCGAGGCCGAAAGGCGUAGUCGAUGGGAAACAGGUUAAUAUUCCUGUACUUGGUGUUACUGCGAAGGGGGACGGAGAAGGCUAUGUUAGCCGGGCGACGGUUGUCCCGGUUUAAGCAUGUAGGCUGAUUGUCCAGGCAAAUCCGGAUAAUCAAGGCUGAGGUGUGAUGACGAGGCACUACGGUGCUGAAGUAACAAAUGCCCUGCUUCCAGGAAAAGCCUCUAAGCAUCAGGUAACAUCAAAUCGUACCCCAAACCGACACAGGUGGUCAGGUAGAGAAUACCAAGGCGCUUGAGAGAACUCGGGUGAAGGAACUAGGCAAAAUGGUGCCGUAACUUCGGGAGAAGGCACGCUGGUGUGUAGGUGAAGUCCCUGCGGAUGGAGCUGAGACCAGUCGAAGAUACCAGCUGGCUGCAACUGUUUAUUAAAAACACAGCACUGUGCAAACACGAAAGUGGACGUAUACGGUGUGACGCCUGCCCGGUGCCGGAAGGUUAAUUGAUGGGGUUAUCCGUAAGGAGAAGCUCUUGAUCGAAGCCCCGGUAAACGGCGGCCGUAACUAUAACGGUCCUAAGGUAGCGAAAUUCCUUGUCGGGUAAGUUCCGACCUGCACGAAUGGCGUAAUGAUGGCCAGGCUGUCUCCACCCGAGACUCAGUGAAAUUGAACUCGCUGUGAAGAUGCAGUGUACCCGCGGCAAGACGGAAAGACCCCGUGAACCUUUACUAUAGCUUGACACUGAACAUUGAGCCUUGAUGUGUAGGAUAGGUGGGAGGCUUUGAAGCGUGGACGCCAGUCUGCGUGGAGCCAACCUUGAAAUACCACCCUUUAAUGUUUGAUGUUCUAACGUUGGCCCCUGACCGGGGUUGCGGACAGUGUCUGGUGGGUAGUUUGACUGGGGCGGUCUCCUCCCAAAGCGUAACGGAGGAGCACGAAGGUUAGCUAAUCCUGGUCGGACAUCAGGAGGUUAGUGCAAUGGCAUAAGCUAGCUUGACUGCGAGCGUGACGGCGCGAGCAGGUGCGAAAGCAGGUCAUAGUGAUCCGGUGGUUCUGAAUGGAAGGGCCAUCGCUCAACGGAUAAAAGGUACUCCGGGGAUAACAGGCUGAUACCGCCCAAGAGUUCAUAUCGACGGCGGUGUUUGGCACCUCGAUGUCGGCUCAUCACAUCCUGGGGCUGAAGUAGGUCCCAAGGGUAUGGCUGUUCGCCAUUUAAAGUGGUACGCGAGCUGGGUUUAGAACGUCGUGAGACAGUUCGGUCCCUAUCUGCCGUGGGCGCUGGAGAAUUGAGGGGGCUGCUCCUAGUACGAGAGGACCGGAGUGGACGCAUCACUGGUGUUCGGGUUGUCAUGCCAAUGGCACUGCCCGGUAGCUAAAUGCGGAAGAGAUAAGUGCUGAAAGCAUCUAAGCACGAAACUUGCCCCGAGAUGAGUUCUCCCUGAGACUUUAAGUCUCCUGAAGGAACGUUAAAGACGAUGACGUUGAUAGGCCGGGUGUGUAAGCGCAGCGAUGCGUUGAGCUAACCGGUACUAAUGAACCGUGAGGCUUAACCUUACAACGCCGAAG
rnacentral:rRNA from 1 species